rnacentral:rRNA from 1 species
GAUGAACGCUAGCUACAGGCUUAACACAUGCAAGUCGAGGGGCAGCACGGAGAUAGCUUGCUAUCUUGGGUGGCGACCGGCGCACGGGUGAGUAACGCGUAUCCAACCUGCCCAUUACUCAGGGAUAGCCUUGCGAAAGUAAGAUUAAUACCUGAUGUUGUUAAAAACCCGCAUGAGUUUUUAACCAAAGAUUUAUUGGUAAUGGAUGGGGAUGCGUGACAUUAGGUAGUAGGUGAGGUAACGGCCCACCAUGGCGACGAUGUCUAGGGGUUCUGAGAGGAAGGUCCCCCACGCUGGAACUGAGACACGGUCCAGACUCCUACGGGAGGCAGCAGUGAGGAAUAUUGGUCAAUGGUCUGACGACUGAACCAGCCAUGCCGCGUGAAGGUGACGGCCCUAUGGGUCUUAAACUUCUUUUGUAAGGGNGCAAUAAGGUCUACGUGUAGGCUGAUGAGAGUACCUUACGAAUAAGCAUCGGCUAACUCCGUGCCAG